rnacentral:lncRNA from 1 species
UCUCCCUGUGUCUCCACCCACUGAAGUUCGCUCCUAGAAAAAUCUGCUCAUGUCCCCAAGAGCUCUGGAGAGGAUCUUGGCGUAGAGAGGCUGUUGUGCCUACUGGGAGGGUGGGAGCCAGGGUUAUACCGGCUCCUUGGCGCGUUUUCUCUGAGCUGGACGAGGCUGCGUGUGGACCUCCGAACCGUGGCCCGAGACGAGGCGCCCUUGCGCUGGCGGGAGGAGCCUGGAGGUUCUGGAGCGGAGCUGCUGCCCUGGGCUGGUGUGUGGAGGACGGUGGAAAUACGGGCCGGUAACCAGGCGGGAGUAACCAGAGACAGACGACUUCUGCGAUGGAAUAUCAUGGAAGAAUUGCUUCUCGGAGCUGCCUCCAUAAACAGCCUACAUCCUGGCUAAGCAAAGAGAGAAGAAACACUUCCCACAUCCAGGGCUGUCCAAAAGAACUUUCUGUGAUGACAGAAAUGUUCCAUAUUUGCAGUGUCUGAUACAGUAGCCACUAGCCACAUGGCUAGUGAACAAUUGAAAUGUUGCUACUGUGAUUGAGGAAGUAAAUUUUAAUGUUAUUUAAUUUUAAAUACUUUAAAUGUAAAUAGCCACAUGUGGCUAGUGACUAGUGUUGUGGACAAACCUUUCUCUUUCUUGUGUUUUACACCUUGCUGGGUGUGUAUGUGGGUGGGGGGUGUUGAAUAAGUUGUAUGCUUGACAUUCCAUGGUCUUUACUAUUCGACCUUGCCAUCGAACUUGUCUCCCAGAGGAAAGGGAAAAAUGGUAUUUUGGAACUAAAUUCAGAUGUUAACUUGACAUUUACACAUUGAACAUAUGUAUUUGUAUGUGUUUCUGUGUGAAUAGAAUGGUUUUCUGGGAAUAGGUCCUGUGGUGAUUUCAGUGAUAACUGAUGAUGGGAAAGUGGUGGUGCUGGUCACUUGACUUUCCUAGUGAACAUUAUGUGUUCCUUGUCAUAGUCAGUAGAGAUUCUGUUGUGCAGUUCAUUCUGUUACUUUAUUUUUGUACUAUUGUGGCUGCUAAAUGAUUAUUCCAUGUCUGUUUUUCAAAAUACUUUGUGGUUUAUAUUUUUUAAAAGGCUAUGAAAUAAAACACAGUAGCUCAGCCUGUGUGUAAGUGAA